rnacentral:misc_RNA from 1 species
UUGUUUGUUAUGAUAUAAGACGUUCAUUACACAUAGUUUGUAUGUCCGGCGGGCGAGGCCCACCGACGAGUUCACAGGUGUGAGGAUUGGAUAAAGGCCUCUCGGCCAAAUCACUAAUGAUCCUUCCGCAGGUUCACCUACGGAAA